AUAAUUUCCUAGCUCUACUCCUGGCCUUUUUAAAGAGGGUUAUGUUUGUGUAACUAUGUCCUUCAGUAGCUGCUGCCUUUUCAGAAGGCUGUGAAGAAUCUUUCACCUGAGCCCAGCCUCUCCUGAAGGAGUUUACAUACGUGACUUGGUUAAGGAUGCAGCAUAAUGGAUGUACCUUUUGAAAAAAAAAACUUUUUUUACCAGCAGUAAUUAGCAGCAUGACGUGAGAGGGACCAUGAGUGGUGUUCCCAGUCCUUCCAGGGAGAGGGAAAGGUCUGGGCACAAAUAGAUGCCUUCAGUGGAUUGACACUUUGUGCAUGGCUGGUAUUGCAGACAGGAGUUUGGCUCCUGCACAUGCACAAUUAGGAGGAGCAAGGACUUUAAAGCAGGAGCAAGGCCCACCUGACAAGGUGUGGCAAAAUGAGUGCCUUUGGGAGUCUUCAAACAACCAACAGGUUGUAGGGUGGUCAAGCACUGGAACAGAUGACCUGAAGAGUGGUGGGAUCUCCAACAAGAAUGUACUGGACAAAACAUUUUUGAACAUGCUUCAAGCAGGGGCUUGGACCAGGAUGACCUCCAGAAAGUCAGUCCAGUAUAAGUUAUUCUAUGAUCUUGUGGAGAGCAAGCAUACAGUGUUUAACCUCCUGAUACUCCAUGUUUAGACUGAUUUCAGAGAGAUCACACACUUACUUUAGCUGAAGAAUUAGUAAGAACCAACCAUACCAAAAAUUAAACCUAAAAUCCUUUUUUUUCUGCUUAAAGAGUAGCUAUAUUUUUUUUCCUUCCCUUUACACAAAUACAAAUAACCACCUGGAAAGAGGGCAUAAACAGAAAUUUAUGUAUUCACAUAGUAUUCACUGGAGGAGCAGAAAGAGGGGGUUAAAACCCUCACACUGAGCAAGGAUAACACAAUAAAAUCAGUGAGUUCCAAGAGCUGUUCUAACAUUGCACCCGUCAGAGGGCAGCAGAACCUGCAGAACAGGCUGCUUCCUUACUUUUAAUUUCACAUUCAGGAAGAGCCAGAAAAGAAAAGAAACACUUUAGAAAAAGAAACACUUUAGAAACACUUCUGGUAAAAGCUAGCUUGAUGCCUAAUUUUAAUAACCUUGAAGUGGUCUAAUAUAAUUCUGAGCACAGCAAUUUUCAACAAAGCGAUGUACCUCAAAUUACCUGUUGGUGAGAACAGCUAUUCUGCAUAUAUUGUGGUAGAAGAAAACCAGACUGUUUAGGAAAUUAAUGUUUGGUAGCAUGGAAUUUUGGAUGAAUGUUUUCAAAUAAGAAACAGAAAAAUGUAUUGCAAUUUGCUACAGGGAUAUAGAGCUUUGUAGCAAUAUUUUAUUCAAAUAACACCUCGUAGAAAACAAAAGGGUUAUUCCCUAAUUUACAGCAAUGUAGGGAUUUCCCACACUAAUGCAUUUUCAGAGAUUGUAUCCACAGUAAUAAAUGAAUGACACUCAGCAACAAUGAAAAGCUAGAAUUAACAUGGGAUACAGAGAAGAUAGUCAGCAUAAUGAUCUCUCUAAACGUCUACUGUGUCAUACAGAAGGAUUGAAAUUAAUGGCAAUAGUUUUUAUCUGUAGAUGACACCUUGAAUUAUGUUGGGAGUAGCAAGUGAGUAUAAAUAAAGGAUGCAUUUUUCUCUCUCCUUAUAAGUUAUUAACAGUAUUUUGAAGUGCUUCAUGUAAUUGUUGGAAAGUAAAUAAAUCCACGAAGGUUACACUGAAAUAAACAAUAAAAGUAUUUAUUUGAGUAAAAUGUUGUUACUAUGCCAAAGGAGGACCCUUGCAGAAAGGGAUGGAAACAGGAGCAGAACCCACUUUCCAUACCUCUGUGGAUUACACAGACAUUUGGACACCUAGUUUAUCCAUUUAUUGGAAAUUCAUGCAAAGUCUCACUCAAAUCUCAUCUGCUUUCCCAUUCAAAGAAUUUUCAGUGUAUAAUAUAAUACAUACAGGCUGAGUCCUGGUAAUGGCACAGAAGACUGUUCAGGCAGCUCAAAAACAUGGAAACCAGUGAGUUGAAAUCAUUCAAGCAGCCUGCUCUUCACUUCUUCCCCCAAGCAAAACCACAAAUCAGAGCUCAAGGAGAAAAAAGCAAGAGAUCCUUCCUCUGAGACAAAAAAGAUCUGUUUGCAGAGGGUUUCCAGUCCAUCCUGCUUCAGGAGUAUGCAGCACACUCGUGGCUUAGCUGACCUUGUUUCUUUUGAAUAUCACAUCCAUCACUGUAAAGCCUUGCAUGCUCUUUGCGUUGGAUCAGGCAGGUGAAUUCACCCUUCCAUCAAAGACACAUCGCAGUGAUCUCUCAAACUAAGAAAAAUGCAGAAUAUUUUGACAAGGGGCAAGGUUUUGGUGAAAAAACCACUAAGGCAUGCCAACUGUAGAGUUUCUGAAUUGA